UGAAUACGAGACGCUAAGGCGUCGAAGUAGUGUAUGUCAUACUUCCAAGAAAAGCUUGCACUGUCAUAAGUAAAAAAUGCCUGUACCAUAACCGACACAGGUGGGUAGGUAGAGUAUACUAAGGGGCGCGAGAUAACUCUCUCUAAGGAACUCGGCAAAAUAACUCCGUAACUUCGGGAGAAGGAGUACCUUAUUCUAUAAGGUUGCAAUAACAAGAUCCAAGCAACUGUUUAUCAAAAACACAGGUCUCCGCUAAGUCGUAAGACGAUGUAUGGGGGCUGACGCCUGCCCAGUGCCAGAAGGUUAAAGAAGUCGGUUAGCAUUAGCGAAGCUGGUAACUGAAGCCCUGGUGAACGGCGGCCGUAACAAUAACGGUCCUAAGGUAGCGAAAUUCCUUGUCGGGUAAGUUCCGACCCGCACGAAAGGCGUAAUGAUUUGGAUACUGUCUCGGAGAGGGGCUCGGUGAAAUAGACUUGUCUGUGAAGAUGCGGACUACCUGCACCAGGACAGAAAGACCCUAUGAAGCUUUACUGUAACUUGAAAUUGAAAUUGGACUUUAUUCGCGCAGUAUAGGUGGGAGGUGUUGAUUAUAAUCUUGCGGGAUUAUUGGAGCCAUCAGUGAGAUACCACUCUUGUAAUGUUAGAUUUCUAACUUUGAAUCAUUAUCUGGUCAAAGGACAGUUUCAGGCGGGCAGUUUGACUGGGGCGGUCGCCUCCCAAACGGUAACGGAGGCGUACAAAGGUUUCCUCUGAACGGGUAGAAAUCGUAUCUAGAGUGUAAAGGCAUAAGGAAGCUUGACUGUGAGACCUACAAGUCGAACAGGGACGAAAGUCGGUCUUAGUGAUCUGACGGUACUGAGUGGAAAGGCCGUCACUCAACGGAUAAAAGUUACUCUAAGGAUAACAGGCUGAUCUCCCCCAAGAGUUCACAUCGACGGGGAGGUUUGGCACCUCGAUGUCGGCUCAUCGCAUCCUGGGGCGGUAGUACGUCCCAAGGGUUGGGCUGUUCGCCCAUGAAAGCGGUACGCGAGCUGGGUUCAGAACGUCGUGAGACAGUUCGGUCCAUAUCCGGUGUAGGCGUUAGAAUAUUGAGAGGAGCCUUCUUUAGUACGAGAGGACCGAGAAGGACAUACCUCUGGUGUACCAGUUAUCGUGCCAACGGUAAACGCUGGGUAGCUAUGUAUGGAGUGGAUAACCGCUGAAAGCAUCUAAGUGGGAAGCCCACCUCUAGAUAAGUAUUCUCAGC
rnacentral:rRNA from 1 species